UAUCUCUGUAGAGUCUGCAUAUCAAUAAGCGGAGGAAAAGAAACUAACAAGGAUUCCCUUAGUAACGGCGAGUGAAGCGGGAAGAGCUCAAAUUUGAAAUCUUCAAGGUUUUACCUUGACGAAUUGUAGUUUAAAGAAGUGUUUUCUGUUGAAGUUUCGGUAAAAGUUCUUUGGAAUAGGACAUCAUAGAGGGUGAGAAUCCCGUAUUUGACCGUUAUUUUCCAGCUGUGUGAUACACUUUCAAAGAGUCGGAUUGUUUGGGAAUGCAGUCCAAAAUGGGUGGUAAAUUUCAUCUAAAGCUAAGUAUUGGCGAGAGACCGAUAGCGAACAAGUACCGUGAGGGAAAGAUGAAAAGAACUUUGAAAAGAGAGUUAAACAUGUACGUGAAAUUGUCAAAAGGGAAGCGUUUGACACCAGUGUUGUUUUUCCAAAAUCAAUUACGAAUGGCUUGAUUUUGUGUUGUAUUGACCUUAUCAGCUUUCUGCACUUUUUUCGAGUCUUUCUUAAUGCACUUUUUCGGUUAACAAGUCAACAUCAAUUUCUUUUGUUGUAAAAGAGUAUUCGGAAGGUGGCUUUCUUUUCGGAGAAAGUGUUUAUAGCCCUAUACUUCUACAAUCGGAGAGAAUUGAGGUCUGCAGCGUAGAUCCUUCGGGGUUAGAUACACUUGUGCUAAGUUGUAGCUUUUCAUAGACAACUUGUUGACUAUGUUUAGUCAUGCGGCUUACUCGCUUGUGCUAUUUUACCUACGCUUAGGAUGUUGACUGAUAUGUAGUCGUA
rnacentral:rRNA from 1 species